rnacentral:RNase_P_RNA from 3 species
UCAGCCGGCUGGACGGUCGCUGCCGCCUAACGGCGGUGGAGGAAAGUCCGGGCUCCAUGGAGACAGGGUGGCGGCUAACGGCCGCCGGGGGCGACCCCAGGGAAAGUGCCACAGAAAACAAACCGCCAACGCCGGGCCUCGGCCCAGCGCGGCAAGGGUGAAAAGGUGCGGUAAGAGCGCACCGCGCGACUGGUAACAGGAGCGGCAUGGCAAACCCCACCCGGAGCAAGACCAAAUAGGGGUGGCCGCGUGCGGGGAAACCCGGCACGGAGGCGCGUCUUCACGCCAGUCACCCGGGUUGGUUGCUUGAGGCGUCCAGCGAUGGACGUCCCAGAUGAAUGGCCGUCGCGGAGGGAAACCUCCUGACAGAACCCGGCUUACAGGCCGGCUGACAAA